UACGGGGGGGGCAAGCGUUGUUCGGAAUUACUGGGCGUAAAGCGUGCGCAGGCGGUUGUGCAAGACAGAUGUGAAAUCCCCGGGCUUAACCUGGGAACUGCAUUUGUGACUGCACGGCUAGAGUGUGUCAGGAGGGGGGUAGAAUUCCACGUGUGAGCAGUGAAAUGCGUAGAUAUGUGGAGGAAUACCGAUGGCGAAGGCAGCCCCCUGGGAUAACACUGACGCCUCAUGCACGAAAGCGUGGGGAGCAAACAGG
rnacentral:rRNA from 1 species